rnacentral:rRNA from 1 species
UGGGGGAUAUUGCACAAUGGGCGACAGCCUGAUGCAGCGACGCCGCGUGGGGGAUGAAGGCCUUCGGGUUGUAAACUUCUUUUGCUCUGAACAAGGCAUGCUAAUGGGUGUGUUGAGUGUAGGGGUUGAUUAGCGCCGGCUAACUACGUGCCAGCAGCCGCGGUAAUACGUCGGGCGCGAGCGUUGUCCGGAAUUAUUGGGCGUAAAGGGCUUGUAGGUGGCUGGUUGCGUCUGUCGUGAAAGCUCAUGGCUUAACUGUGGGUUUGCGGUGGGUACGAGCUGGCUUGAGUGCAGUAGGAGAGGCUGGAAGUCCUGGUGUGGCGGUGGAAGGCGCAGAUAUCAGGAGGAAUACCGGUGGCGAAGGCGGGUCUCUGGGCUGUUACUGACACUGAGGAGCGAAAGCAUGGGGAGCGAACAAG